AAAUUGAAGAGUUUGAUCAUGGCUCAGAUUGAACGCUGGCGGCAGGCCUAACACAUGCAAGUCGAACGGUAACAGGAAGCAGCUUGCUGCUUCGCUGACGAGUGGCGGACGGGUGAGUAAUGUCUGGGAAACUGCCUGAUGGAGGGGGAUAACUACUGGAAACGGUAGCUAAUACCGCAUAAUGUCGCAAGACCAAAGAGGGGGACCUUCGGGCCUCUUGCCAUCGGAUGUGCCCAGAUGGGAUUAGCUUGUUGGUGGGGUAACGGCUCACCAAGGCGACGAUCCCUAGCUGGUCUGAGAGGAUGACCAGCCACACUGGAACUGAGACACGGUCCAGACUCCUACGGGAGG
rnacentral:rRNA from 1 species